CCUUAUAGUGGGGGAUAACCCGGGGAAACUCGGGCUAAUACCGCAUAAUCUCUUCGGAGCAAAGCGGGGGAUCUUCGGACCUCGCGCUAAAAGAUGAGCCUGCGUUGGAUUAGCUUGUUGGUGGGGUAAAGGCCUACCAAGGCGACGAUCCAUAGCUGGUCUGAGAGGACGAUCAGCCACACUGGGACUGAGACACGGCCCAGACUCCUACGGGAGGCAGCAGUGGGGAAUAUUGGACAAUGGGGGAAACCCUGAUCCAGCAAUGUCGCGUGUGUGAAGAAGGCCUUCGGGUUGUAAAGCACUUUCAGUGGGGAAGAAAUUCUUAAGAUUAAUACUUUUAAGCGUUGACGUUACCCACAGAAGAAGCACUGGCUAACUCUGUGCCAGCAGCCGCGGUAAUACAGAGAGUGCAAGCGUUAAUCGGAAUUACUGGGCGUAAAGCGCGCGUAGGUGGAUAUUUAAGUCGGAUGUGAAAGCCCUGGGCUUAACCUGGGAAUUGCACCCGAUACUGGAUAUCUAGAGUAUGGUAGAGGAUAGUGGAAUUUCCGGUGUAGCGGUGAAAUGCGUAGAUAUCGGAAAGAACACCAGUGGCGAAGGCGG
rnacentral:rRNA from 1 species